UGAUUAAGGGCUCAGUCUGGAGGCAGAGGCCUUGGCUUUGAAUUUCUCCUUUACCUAUCAAUGGUCAGCUUGUUGACUACCAAUUCAACUUCUCUGAGCCUUGGUCCCUUCAUCUGCAAAAAGAACCGAUAGAUUAAUUUGAUGUGUGAUGUAAUUGGUACAACACCAUCAUGCUCCCUUAACAGUGUUUAGUGGCUUAGAUUAAGUCUUCAGUAAAUAAUGUUUUUCUGUUGUUGAAAGGCAGGGAACAAUAACCUCUCAAUGAUGCUAUUACUUACAACUUGCUCCGAAUUACUCUCUCAGAUCUGUUAGCAUUCUGUGGCUGUGAUAAAAUACCUGAGGUAAGCAAGUUAUAAGGAGGUGAUACUAAGUUUAGAGGUGGUUCGUUCAAUAAAGUAUUUCCUCUGCAAGCAUUAAGACCUGGGUUCCUUCCCAAGAACUCACAUAAAAACUCUGGAUCUAAUGACAUACUCUUGUAAUCCCAGUGCUGGGAGGGCAGAACCCAGUGGAUCCCUGGAGCUCCCUUGGCCAGACAACAUGAAUUGGAAAGUUCUAGGUAAAACAGACAGACUCUGUCCUAAAAACAAAAACAAAACAAAACAAAAGCAAAAACAAACCAAAAAACCCACAGUGGAGGAUGACCAAAGAAGACACCUUGACAUGACCUCACGAUACGCUCACCUCUGGCCUCUGUAUCCAUGUACUUUCACAGAGCCCUUAUUGCAUAGGCUUUGGGGGCAGCAGACCACCAUAUGUAUUUUUCAGUUGCCUAAUAAAACUUGCAAAAACUGGGAAACAGCCCCCUAAAUUAUGAUGAGCAUUGUUGGUAAAGCAAGCCCAGGCCUUCAUCAAAAUCCUUCAUGGACUUGGUACACAUCACUAUACCCCACUUCCUAUCCACUUUUCUAGCUCACUAUUAGGAACAGCCUGAAACUCAGAUUACAAGGGUAUUUCUACAUUUUUACAUACCGUCAGAAAGUUCUGUGAGCUUUGUAGCCUGAUAUAAGGACCCACACAAUGUUAAGAAGUGAGCACACUUGUGCCAUAGAGGUUUUCAUCCAUGACUGGAAAUGUAACAAAGCUUGUGGAACCUUUGGCACUUAUCUCAUAGCCUUUGCCUAAAAGAAGUGAUGCAGGAAGACAGACAGAUAUGAUGGACAGCCCCAAGAUUAAACUCCUGGCAUUGACCAAAGCUCUUGUACUGGUUAGUUUUCCCACAUCACAACCUAGAAUCGGCUGGGAAGAAAAUCUCAGUUGAAGAUCUAUCUAAAUAAAGUUGGCCCAUGGCCAUGUCUGGUGGAUUGUCUUGAUUGUUAAUUGAUCGAGCCCACUGUGGGUGGUACCGUUCCCUAGGCUGGGCACUGAACUGCCUCAGGCUGACUUGUAUCUCGGCAUAAGCAGCAGAGAGCAAGCCGACAACCUGAGUGCGUUCAUUUCUCUCUGCUUUUGACUGAGGAUGUGACGUAACCAGCUGUUUACAUUUCUCCUUUGGCUUCCCCUCAACAGUAGGCCAUAAAGUGGAAUUGGUUUUGCUCAAGGUAUUUUGUUGUCCUAACAUCAAUGAAAUUAGAACAACUUUGAAGGUAGCAAGGUAGUACUGUCGUAUGGAACGUUAUCUUACAGGUUUAAGCCAUUCUACCAACAAAGGUGGGGUAUUACUUUACUGCUAUAGGAGUUUGACAGGCCUGUUACUACAAAGCCAGAGAAAAAGAAUCACCUCUGUUCUUUUCAAAUGAGGAAAUUACCCAUAUUUAACUAAGUCAAAUUAACAUUAGAAGCAGGUGAUCAUUGUGAUCUUUAGAAGAGAAAGUAAUCAAUUAGCACACUGUUGUGAAUCCACUGGAAAUAUUGUCUUAGCCCAGCUGGUAAGAGGUUUAAAGCCCCCAUUUACACAGAGAACUAACACCACUGGUAUAAAAAACAAACAAAC
rnacentral:lncRNA from 1 species